GGAAAAGCGACGCUGCUAUUGUCUCUUCGUUUCAUCGGGAAUGAGUGCAACGGAAAGCAAUUCGAUGGACGCUAUAAUCUCUUCUCUCUUAAACAGCUUUAAACAAGUCCCUUUGGCAGCUAUCCCAGCAAUGCUUGAUUGCAUUUUGACGUCCACAGGCUUAUCUCCAUCUUCGCUUUUUGCUUCCCUUCUUGAUGCCUUCCCUAACAUCAACAAGGAUCUUAUCAAGGAUGACUGGAAGUUGGAUUCUGGUCAAUAUAACUAUCUUUUGUCAAUGCUGGGAGCACUUUGUCAUCUUCUGAAGAAGCUUGGGAUUAAUCCUAAUACCAUUCAUUCAUUUAUCUGGAAAUGUUUUAUUCCAUUGAUGAAGAUGGUUCAUGCAUUUGAACGUGAGAUGCUUAACCAGAUUGCAGAGUCAUUCUUUGAUGUUGUGAGCUCGACAAAUUCCUGGGGUGUUUUAGAAGCAACUUUGGUGCCUUUUUUUCUGAGAUCAUCAGGUCUUUCUCUGGGUAUGCUUCAAAAUGAAGAAUCAGAUAUCUUUGAAUGGGACCAGGAUUCAGUUAUGCAGGGUUUAAAUGGCAUGAUAGAUGAUUUGCAUCUGGAUAAAGAGUCCAUACUGUCCCUAUCUCAGUCUUUUCCACUGUCCACAUCAUGCCUUGUCUUAGCCUUAAUACUGGAUUCUGCUCUACGAAGUUUCCAGACUGCUACAAAUACAGAAUCAGUGUUGGAAAAUGGGUCUUGUUAUGCAGAAAAGCUAUUUAAUAAAUUGCUCUGGGAUCUAUGUAAUAUGAGUGAGCGAUUGUUUUCACAAAGUUUCGAACACCGGUCCUGUGCUAUUGGCUUUCUUCUUCCAAUUCUUUUCAAAGCUUUUGCUUGUCAUCCCUCUUUGGAAAUCUCAGUUCAUGGGAGGACAUGUGUUCUUUCUAGAAACCUCUUCUCCAGGAAUAUAUGGAAGUGCUGCAGAUCACUAUUUUCUCUUGGACCUUUAGAGAGAAGAGAUGCCUAUCGUGCACUUUCUCUAUGCUUGUCCUUUUCCUCUUGUAUGGAACAAUGUGAAAAGGCUGAUGCAAGUGUUCGAGCAGAAGAAUUUGACAUGAGAGCUGAAAAAGAGUUUUGGGAUGAAAUAAAAAGAGGCCUGGUUGAUGAGGAAAGCAUAGUGAGGAAGCAAUCAUUAUAUAUAUUGAAAAGCAUACUGCAAAUAAGUGGGGAAAGCCAGAGCAACUCUUCUGUAUCAGAGAAGAAAUCAGGAGAAAAACACGCAGUUCCUCCUGGAAUGACAAAGAGAGCAAUGUGGGCUGACAAGGAAGCUCAAUCACUGGGUGUAGGGAAACUCAGUGGUUUGGUUGAUUCUCCUUUAGACAGUCAGCAACAAUGGGAGGCAUUUAUACUCCUAUAUGAAAUGCUUGAAGAGUAUGGUACUCAUUUGGUAGAAGCUGCUUGGGAUCAUCAGAUAACCUUGUUGCUUCAGUUUUCAGUUUCAAGUGAUAAUUUUGCUAGCUCUAUUUGUGAAGGAGUUUGUCAAAAUCAGAUUGAAACUUCGGAUGAAUUGUUCAGUUGGUUAACAAUUUUAUGGCAAUUGGGUCUUCGCCAUGAUAAUCCCCAAGUUAGAUGCUUGAUCAUGCAAUCAUUUUUAGGCAUUGAAUGGAUGAAGUACGGUGACACUGCAAAAUCAGUGCCAGAAAGUUUUAUUCUUGGUCCAUUACUUGAAGGAUUAAAUGACCCUGUGCACCACAAAGAUUUUGGUGUAAAGGGAGUUUACACUUCAAGGACUAUUGAAGGUGCAGCCACUUUUUUGUUUCAAUAUACAAGAUACCUAUAUGUGAGGAAAGGAAUUGUCUUUUUGUAUAGUUUAGCAUCAGUUGCUAAACAUACGUCUUUUGGUAGGGCUGGAUUAAUGGCCCUUGCUGAAUGUAUUGCUUCAGCUGCUCGUGGAGUAGGAACACGUGAUGACAAUAAUGCUGAAUGGAGUGAAGAUGCUUUUCCUCAUGAAGUUCAGCUGGAAUCUUCUUCAAAAAGUUUUAAUGACGUUGAUAAAACGAACUUACUAGAUGUUUUGAGAUUUGUCAUUGAGAACAGCAAACAGCAUUUCAACCCUAAUUAUCGUCUUCAAGUUUGUGAGAUAGUCCUGGAGGCUGUUGUUUCAGUUGUUAGUACAUUUGAUGUGCCUCUUGAGAUUCUCUUGCACUUUGUUUCAACGGUGCCACGAGAAUUUACUGAUUAUGGGGGUUCCUUAAGAUUAAAAAUGCAAGAAUGGCUUUUGGGGGCUGAUAAGAAACAGUAUAGUUCACAAUUGCAUAACUGCAGCACCAAGAUUCAGCUUCUGAAAAGUCUUCAGGAAUUCCCGGAAAAGUUUACAAGUUCUAAAUUCUUAGUAGAUGCUUUCAUUUGUUUUGAUGAUGAAGACUUAGAUGCAUGGGAAUCUGAAGUGAAAAGAUGGGCAAGAGUGCUUUUUCUUGUAAUCAAGGAGGAAAAUCAUUUAGUUCCUAUAUUCACGUUUAUUCACAGUUGUGGAAUUAACAUCUGCAAACAGUACAAUCGUGAUGGUUGGAUGCCUGUGAAGUUUCUUGUUCUUGUCAUUAACCUCGUUGUAGAGAUUCAAAUGAUGCGGGAGAUGACACUUGAACAUCGUAUCAGAAUUAGAUCUCAAUCAGAAAAUAGCCGGCUUGAGACUGUAGAUCAGUUGGGUUAUGCAGAAGCCUCUUUGGUUUGCAGAAAAUUUUCUGAUCUCUUUCUGUCGAUACUUGAGGAGCUGGUCUCUUUUGCUAGUAUGUCUUCUUCCGUUUUCUGGAAAAGUAUCGCGAAUGACACAAAUUUGCCAAGUUCUGUGAGAGGAAAACUUGGAGGCCCUAGUCAACGUCGGCUGUCAUCUUCCACCACUACUGCUGUGCUGGAAGCUAUAACAUCAAUUCGAGCAGUUGCCUCUAUCACAUCAUGGUGUGCACGGUUUAAUAGUGACGUUCAGCUCAAGUCUGCUUGGACUUUUAUGUGGAAAUUCUUUUGGAAGACUGUUUCAUCUUCAAAUUCUGAUUCUGAGAGUGGAGCAGAAGUUUGUGUAGCAGCAUAUGAAACAUUAGCUCCCAUUCUGAGAGCACUAGUUUCCACAUUCUCUCCUCUAGCUUUGGAUCUUAUUAGGGAAAAUGAUAAAUCAUCACUGUCUGCAGAAGGCAAGGCUUGGUUAGAUCCCUUGGUUCUUUCUUUCCUUCAAAAUAUCAAUAAUCUUCUUGCAGUUGGAGUGCUGGUGCGUACAAGAAGGGCAGUUUUGCUGAAUUGGAAGUGGCUUUGCCUGGAGUCUCUGCUGUCUAUCCCUUGCUAUGCUCUUGAGAAUGGGCUUCUUUUAGAGAAUAAUAUAUCAUUCUUCUCAGAAGCGGCAAUCAGAUGCGUUUUUAGUGAUCUUGUUGAGAGCCUCGAGAAUGCUGGGCAAGGUUCUGUUUUACCGAUGCUGAGAUCCAUCAGAUUGAUAUUGAGCCUUUUGGCCUCUGGAAAGUCAGGUUCACUUGUUUCCUCAUGCAAUGGUGUGGAUGCCCAGAUGAUGUGGCUUUUGGUUCGUUCUGCUUGGAUAUUGCAUGUCAGCAACAGCAAGCGGAGGGUUGCAUCUAUUGCUGCACUUUUGUCAUCUGUCCUGCACACUUCUGUGUUUGCUGAUGAGGGGAUGCAUGUAAUUGACAAUGCACCUGGACCUCUCAAGUGGUUUGUUGAAAAUAUUCUCGAGGAAGGUACAAAAAGUCCUCGAACAAUUCGUCUUACAGCAUUGCAUUUAACAGGGCUGUUUCUUGCACAUCCAAGGAUAAUUAAGUAUUACAUAAAAGAACUAAAGCUGCUUACACUCUAUGGUUCUGUUGCAUUUGAUGAAGAUUUUGAAGCUGAAUUAGCUGAAAAUCGUGAUGCAAGGACAGAAGUUUCAUUAUUGGCUAAAAGUCCGGAUCCUGAGUUGACUGAAGCAUUUAUUAAUACAGAAUUGUUUGCACGUGUGUCUGUUGCCGUUCUAUUCUACAAGCUGUCUGAUUUGGUGGGGUCAGCAAAUGAAAAUGAAGAUUGCUGUGCUGCUCUUGAAUCUGGCAAAUUGUUUCUGCUAGAGCUUCUUGAAUCAGUGGUAAAUGACAAGGAUCUUGCAAAGGAGUUGUACAAAAAGUACAGUGGGAUCCAUAGGCGUAAAAUACGUGCUUGGCAAAUGAUAUGUGUUUUAUCAAGAUUUGUCGAGGAUGAUAUAGUUGGGAAAGUUACAAGCAGCUUGCACAUAGCCUUUUAUAGAAACAACUUGGCUGCAGUUCGGCAAUACUUGGAGACAUUUGCAAUUAAUAUUUACUUGAAGUUUCCUUCAUUGGUUGGGGUACAAUUAGUUCCAAUAUUAAGAGACUAUGACAUGAGGCCACAGGCUCUUUCUUCCUAUGUGUUCAUAGCAGCUAAUAUCAUCCUCCAUGCGUCUAAGGCAUUUCAAGCCAGACAUUUGGAUGAAUUACUUCCCCCUAUAGUUCCAUUGUUAACCUCUCAUCACCACAGCUUGCGGGGUUUUACUCAGUUGCUAGUCAACCAAGUGUUUUUAAAAUAUUUUUCUCAAUUGGAAUUUGGAGCCUCUGAAACUGUGCCUUUGGAGAAAAGGUGCUUUGAAGAUCUGAAAUUAUACCUGGCAAAAAACCCUGAUUGUAGUCGCUUACGAGCAUCAAUGAAAGGAUAUCUCGAUGCCUAUAAUCCCAUUAUCUCCAGUACUCCAGCUGGAAUUUUUGUCGACCGGGUUGAGGAAUUUCAGUUUGAAUGCGUUCCAACAUCCCUCUUGGAGGAAGUGCUCAACUUUCUAAACGAUGUCAGGGAGGACCUCAGAUGUUCAAUGGCAAAGGACAUUAUAACUAUCAAGAAUGAGAGCUUAAAAAUUGGUAAAGAUCCUAACUACAGGAGAAUAUUACCUAGUGCAGAACCACGUAAAGAAACAUUGCUUGAUUUUCAGAAGAAAAUUAUUCCUGACAGACAUGAGAAAGAAGAGGCUGAAUCAAGUUCCAUUUUGUUACACAAUGAAGCAUACAAACAGCUUUUAGAAAUGGAAAAGGAGGAUGAACUUCUUGAUCAGUCCCUUCAAUAUAGAAUUUUGGCCAUGGAAAGAAUAAGAGCAAGUCGGCAACAUUUUAUCCUUGUAGCUUCAUUCCUCGAUCGAAUACCAAACCUUGCUGGUUUGGCACGGACAUGUGAGGUAUUUAAGGCGUCAGGAUUAGCCAUUGCAGAUGCAAGCAUAUUACAUGACAAACAAUUCCAACUCAUCAGUGUGACAGCAGAGAAGUGGGUUCCCAUCAUAGAAGUCCCUGUAAAUAGCGUGAGGUAUUUUCUAGAAAAAAAGAAGCAAGAAGGCUUCUCUAUCUUGGGAUUGGAGCAAACAGCCAAUAGUGUGGCCCUUGAUCAGUAUGUUUUUCCUAGAAAGACGGUAAGUCACUCUUAAGCUUGCCUGUCAGUUCCUUAAUACAUGAGGGGUGAAAGAAGAUGCUUAUUCUGGCCAUGCUCAUCUGAGAAAUAAAUAGAACAAUUCUAAGCUUAAAAAUAUGAUUGAUAAAUCCAAGCUUCAGAAGAUGAGGUGAAGAAAUUGUGGUUUUCCUUUUGUACCUCUGUGAUAUGGCACCAUCUGUUUCUAGAAGUUUGUCAGAUACUUUAAUGAGAACUACAAGAAGCUUGCUUAUCUAAUUGUUUUGCCAGGUCCUGGUUCUUGGGCGGGAAAAGGAGGGUAUACCCGUUGAUAUAAUCCAUAUGCUGGAUGCUUGUGUUGAGAUUCCGCAAUUGGGAGUGGUUAGGUCGCUCAACGUUCAUGUCAGUGGAGCCAUUGCGCUUUGGGAGUAUACUCGACAGCAAAGAUUUCAAUAGUUCCUCAAUUUUGACAGUAUUUUCAUGUUUUGAAGCAUAUUUUCAUGAUGCCUUCAGUGCUUACGAGCAAGAGACUGACUAUGUUGCUUCUGAAAUUCAUUUGUAUAAUGUGUCCAGUUGCAAUGUUGUAAUAUUAGAUCAGCCCUUGUUUAAGUGUAUGAAAUGGGGGUAAAGAAAAAUUGCAUUAUGUUCUGAUCUCAGUAUUUCUUGUUUGGUUCUGUCAAAUUGAAUUCCAUGUUCAUUUGAGAAAUUUGCAAGGACUUUACCAAUAUUACUGACCUGACAUUCCAUUCUUUGGAUCAAUGAUCUAAUAUGCUUUGGGA
rnacentral:misc_RNA from 1 species